rnacentral:tRNA from 1 species
GGGGGUUUAGCUCAGCUGGUAGAGCACUUGGUUCGCAAUCAAGGGGUCAGGGGUUCGAAUCCCCUAAUCUCCA